CUCUUACACAAGCUUGUAUUGCUUUUAAAGAUCAAGAUGUGACUAUUUAUACUGAUUUGAGAUAUGCCUUUGGAGUGGUUCAUGAUUUUGGUGUCAUUUGGCAGGCUAGAGGCUUUGUUGCAGCUGAUGGUCGAACUGUUUCUCAUUUUGCAUUAAUUGAUGGAUUAUUGAGGGCCAUACUGUUACCUAGAUCUUUAGCUAUUGUGAAGUGCAAGGGCCAUGAUACAGAUCACUCCAUGGUCAGGGAUGGUAAUGAUUUUGCAGAUUUGGUGGCGAAAAGGGCAGCUGCCUCUUUUCCUUUAUGGAGAGAUUACAGUACUGUUUCUUUUGACCAGGUCUUAACUGCAUAUAGCCACUCAUACUGAUGAUACUGAUGAUACUGAUAUUCUUUCUAUGCAGGCUGCAUCAUCUUCGGAUGACUUAGCUUACUGGAAUAAACAUUCUGUUACACCUGAUGCAAGUUCUGGUAUCCUCAAGGAUCAUAAAGGUUGCAUAGCAAUCCCUCAAGUUUUUUCUGUGUUACUCGUCCGACAGUUCCAUGUUAUGGACAUGUCGGACGAAGAGGGGUAUUGGCUAAGCUAAGUAAACUAUUUGUAAUUAACAGGUUAGAUCAGACAGUUACCAAUAUUUUUAUCCAGGUGCUUAACAUGUACUACCAAACCACAGUUACCUCCAGUUUAAGGUCCAAUGUUAAUUUUACAAACUGACUUCAUGCAUAUGACAACGGCAAAAGGUGGACUCAAUUAUUUACUUGUAUUGUAGACAUGUUUUGGUUGUCCAUUUAUGAUUAAUAGUGAUAAAUAAACUUCGUUCACUUCAGCAGUUACACAGCAGGUUUGUAAAAUGUUGAGUAUAGAUUGGAAAUUUCAUAUACCCUAUCACCCUCAGUCAUCAGGGCAAGUAGAAAAGAUGAAUAGAACGAUCAAGGAGAAAUUGACAAAAGGAGACUUGGGUAGCACACGCAAUUGGCCAGACAAUUUGCCAGCAGUUUUAGCUGAGAUCAGAAUGACCCCUAGUUCCACUACGGGUUAUUCACCAUUUGAAAUUUUAAUGGGGAGACCUUUUCCAACUUCACGGUGUAAGUCCAAAGGUGCUCCGAUGGUGAGCGGAGACCUAAAUGUUGUGUUAUAUGUAUUGAACCUUGUAGACACAUUGAAUGGCAUCUAUGGUGAUUUGUCUCUAUCUCUUCCUCAUCCUUCAGGUACAACCACACAUCCUUUCAGGCCUGGAGACAAAGUCUUGGUGAAAUCCCUCUUCAAAUCCGGAACCUUUGAUCCAACGUACAGCCCUCUGACAACCGUUGUUGCCAUCACCAGAAGAGCCGUUCUGACCGAGGAGAACCAGAUAUGGAAUCAUGCAAGCAGAUUAAAAAGAUGUCCCAUCAAGCACUCUGGAUAUUCCAAGCAAAGAAGAUCAACCUCAGACUGAUCCAGAAUGAACAAUAGUGCUCGGUGCACCCUAAUUAUUCUUUUUUCCAUGGGACUUGGUUAUGCGCUGAUUAAUAUUAUUUGAUCCCAAAGAACAGUGAUAGUAAAAUUUGUUAUUAAUAUAUUUCACUCUAAGCAGGCUUUAUCUUCUUCAUCAUGGGAAACAGACAAUCAUUUUAUUGGAUCUGUAAAGAAUUUAUACCAAGCCCUAAAUUUAAC
rnacentral:lncRNA from 1 species